GGUUUUGUAGUGUAAGGUAACAUUUUAGAUUGCAAAUCUAUAGAUGCGGUGAGCAUAAUCCGCCAGAACUU
rnacentral:tRNA from 1 species